rnacentral:misc_RNA from 1 species
UUUCCGUAGGUGAACCUGCGGAAGGAUCAUUAUUGUAUAACCGAGGUGCGAGGCCUGUCGCUGACCCGAAAGGUCGUGCACGCCCGAGUGCCCUCACACACAUCCAUCUCACCCCUAUGUGCACCACCGCGUGGGUCCCCCUUUGGCUUGUUCGGAGGGGGGCUUACGUUUUCACACAAACUUUGUAUGCAGUGUAGAAUGUAUUUUUUGUUUUUGCGAUCACGCAAUCAAUACAACUUUCAACAACGGAUCUCUUGGCUCUC